rnacentral:rRNA from 1 species
UACGUAGGGCGCAAGCGUUAUCCGGAAUUAUUGGGCGUAAAGAGCUCGUAGGCGGUCUGUCGCGUCGGUCGUGAAAACUUGGGGCUUAACCCUGAGCUUGCGGUCGAUACGGGCAUGACUGGAGUUCGGCAGGGGAGACUGGAAUUCCUGGUGUAGCGGUGAAAUGCGCAGAUAUCGGGAGGAACACCGGUGGCGAAGGCGGGUCUCUGGGCCGAUACUGACGCUGAGGAGCGAAAGCGUGGGGAGCGAACAGG